GAUGAACGCUGGCGGCGUGCCUAAUACAUGCAAGUCGAGCGAACAGACGAGGAGCUUGCUCCUCUGACGUUAGCGGCGGACGGGUGAGUAACACGUGGAUAACCUACCUAUAAGACUGGGAUAACUUCGGGAAACCGGAGCUAAUACCGGAUAAUAUAUUGAACCGCAUGGUUCAAUAGUGAAAGACGGUUUUGCUGUCACUUAUAGAUGGAUCCGCGCCGCAUUAGCUAGUUGGUAAGGUAACGGCUUACCAAGGCAACGAUGCGUAGCCGACCUGAGAGGGUGAUCGGCCACACUGGAACGGAGACACGGUCCAGACUCCUACGGGAGGCAGCAGUAGGGAAUCUUCCGCAAUGGGCGAAAGCCUGACGGAGCAACGCCGCGUGAAUGAUGAAGGUCUUCGGAUCGUAAAACUCUGUUAUUAGGGAAGAACAAAUGUGUAAGUAACUAUGCACGUCUUGACGGUACCUAAUCAGAAAGCCACGGCUAACUACGUG
rnacentral:rRNA from 1 species